CUUGAGGACACUCAAGUGGCCUAUGGAGAGGCAAACAUGCAUUGUCAUAAAAUCCACCAAGGAUGGAUCCUAGAGUUUUAAAAGAGAAAGAAUCUAACAAAUUACUCUCUGAAUUUCAAACACAACAAAUAUUAAAGAUAAGAAACCCAAUCUCAAGCACUAUGAGACUCCCUCCUCUCCAUCUCCAAGGGUCAGGCCAUGGUCUUAGUCAUUGCCAAGAGCAUCACAGAAGGCCUCUGCCUCCGGUUCCUACCUGGGCCCUUUCUAUGCUCGUUAACUGAUGCUGCAGCCUGACUUCUUCAAGACUAAGUUGGGCUGUAUGCUUGCAGUCAUGGGAGGAAAACAAAAGAGGGUAUAAACACAAUGCAAUGCCUCGACAAAUCACUCCAUCUCAGGGGGUCAGAAACUAAAUUAAAUGUUAGGAAAAACAGAAAAGAAAUAAGCAACAUAGUGCCAGCCUUUGGGUUCUUAGACACUCAAAAGGAAACAGAAAGUACAGAAACAAUACACCAGGAAAUAAAAGAGGGCAUUUUUAGAAGUACCAUUUAAAUUGCAAGGGCUGCAGGAAUCAACAGAAGGAAAUAAUCGGGGCGAGGGGGAGGGGACUUAAUAAGAAUAAUAAUUAUAUAUUCCCUCAAAUUUGUAUGGAAUUUAUAAAUUAUGAGGGACUUUUCGCACAUUUAUAACUUCAUUUUAGACACGCACAAUGAAAUUAAGUAAAAUGGGGUUGGCGGGACAGAUGGUAACAACUUUAUUUUACAGAUGAGGAACUUGGACUCAGCUAGCUUUGGCGACUUGUUGAGAAAGUCAGAACCAGUUAGUUGUGGAAUAUAAAAUUGAGCUCGGCUCUCUUCCUACCUAGUCUUUUCUCUGCUCCGCUCCCACACUUCAGUGAGAGUUGCUUUCCUGAAGGAGUAAGUUCUAAAGCAGGAUUGGAAGUUCCUAUAGGGACAAAGAGAGGAGGCAUCCACGAGUGGCAAGGAGUGUGAAAGGGAUGAAAAACACAUAAGAAGAAAUGGAGACAGGCAGAAGGUCCCAGCUACAGGACAGAAAAGCCAGGGUGUGGGCUUCUGAGAGAUGAUGCUGAGUGGUGAGUCACGGGUGACUAAGGGAGCCAUUGACAUCAGAUUGCAAAUUCUCCCCUCCUACCCCGUGACGAAGAAGUUUAUCUCCUAUGUCUCUUUAUAUAUGAAAAACCAUAAAGAAAACACCAGUAUCUUCACAUAAUGUACCAUCCAAUGAAAGCAUACGCCAUCUCACUUGGGCCCUUUAUCAAUCUUAGUCACAGUGCCCAAUAUCGUUUCCAUUUCUCAUUCUCUGAGUUCUGUUAUCCAAAGC
rnacentral:lncRNA from 1 species